GAUGAAGAACGUAGCGAAAUGCGAUACGUAAUGUGAAUUGCAGAAUUCAGUGAAUCAUCGAGUCUUUGAACGCACAUUGCGCCCCCUGGUAUUCCGGGGGGCAUGCCUGUCCGAGCGUCAUUGCUGCCCUCAAGCACGGCUUGUGUGUUGGGCCUCCGUCCUCCUCCCGGGGGACGGGCCCGAAAGGCAGCGGCGGCACCGCGUCCGGUCCUCGAGCGUAUGGGGCUUCGUCACCCGCUCUUGUAGGNCNGGCCGGCGCUUGCCGACACAUCAAUCUUUUUUCCAGGUUGACCUCGGAUCAGGUAGGGAUACCCGCUGAACUUAAGCAUAUCAAUAAGCGGAGGA
rnacentral:misc_RNA from 1 species